rnacentral:lncRNA from 1 species
AUGGUGGAGAGGUGCAGGCUGGGACUGGGGGAGCUCCUGUGGUCUCACACCAGGCAGCACCAGCGCCAACAGGAGUGUUUAUGCCUCAUUCACCUCCUUCUCCCCAUACCUCUCCCUAUUCCUGCCCCUCCUAAAUGCCCUGGCUGGGUACCACACACUGGGAAUGGGGGGCAGGCAGGGCUGUGGAAGUGCUGGCUUUCCCCUUGUCCACUGACUCUGAUGUGGUUCUUUGCAGGGCUUGCCAGGCUUUCCUGGCGUGCUGGGACGCCCGGUAGGUGUCUGUGUGUCUCCCAUGUCCCUGUGCCCCACCACCUCAGCACACAGCCGGGGGCUCCUGGCUCUGAAUGCUUGAUGAAACUGUGGGGGUCACCCUGCUGCUGGGCUGGGUCCUUGGCCCUCUGCAUCUUAGCAGGACCUGUCCAGGCUUGUCUUACUUGGUGCUUACAAGAGCUGCUGGCACUGUCUGGGUCUGCUCUCCCUGGGGACACCCCCUGCUCUCACUGGGGAAAACCCACUUCUGCAGUGAUCCCAUUUCUUCCUCCCUUCAGGGCAAUCAGGGAGACCCAGGACCCCCAGGACCUCCGGGCAGCACUGGCCCACCAGGGACCCAGGGCCCAGCUGGUGCCAAGGGUGAUCCGGGGGAGCCUGGCUCCAGCAUCCGUGGCUUGCCUGGCCCCCAGGGCAACAUGGGCCUGCCAGGACCCCUUGGCCCCCCCGGCCCAGGGGUAGGUAUUUGCAGCUCCCCAAACCCACCCCUUGGCUGUUCCUGGUGCCUGGG